CGGGGACAGGAUGACAGGUGGUGCAUGGUUGUCGUCAGCUCGUGUCGUGAGAUGUUGGGUUAAGUCCCGCAACGAGCGCAACCCUUGAUCUUAGUUGCCAGCAUUUAGUUGGGCACUCUAAGGUGACUGCCGGUGACAAACCGGAGGAAGGUGGGGAUGACGUCAAAUCAUCAUGCCCCUUAUGACCUGGGCUACACACGUGCUACAAUGGAUGGUACAAAGGGCAGCAAAACCGCGAGGUCGAGCCAAUCCCAUAAAACCAUUCUCAGUUCGGAUUGUAGGCUGCAACUCGCCUACAUGAAGCUGGAAUCGCUAGUAAUCGCGGAUCAGCAUGCCGCGGUGAAUACGUUCCCGGGCCUUGUACACACCGCCCGUCAAACCACGA
rnacentral:rRNA from 1 species